rnacentral:rRNA from 1 species
UGGGGAAUAUUGCACAAUGGGGGAAACCCUGAUGCAGCGACGCCGCGUGAAGGAAGAAGUAUCUCGGUAUGUAAACUUCUAUCAGCAGGGAAGAUAGUGACGGUACCUGACUAAGAAGCCCCGGCUAAUUACGUGCC